AUUGAACGCUGGCGGCAUGCCUUACACAUGCAAGUCGAACGGUAACAGGUCUUCGGAUGCUGACGAGUGGCGAACGGGUGAGUAAUAUAUCGGAACGUGCCCAGUCGUGGGGGAUAACGCAGCGAAAGCUGUGCUAAUACCGCAUACGAUCUAUGGAUGAAAGCGGGGGAUCGCAAGACCUCGCGCGAUUGGAGCGGCCGAUAUCAGAUUAGGUAGUUGGUGGGGUAAAGGCCCACCAAGCCAACGAUCUGUAGCUGGUCUGAGAGGACGACCAGCCACACUGGAACUGAGACACGGUCCAGACUCCUACGGGAGGCAGCAGUGGGGAAUUUUGGACAAUGGGCGCAAGCCUGAUCCAGCAAUGCCGCGUGCAGGAUGAAGGCCUUCGGGUUGUAAACUGCUUUUGUACGGAACGAAAAGACUCUUUCUAAUAAAGAGGGUCCAUGACGGUACCGUAAGAAUAAGCACCGGCUAACUACGUG
rnacentral:rRNA from 1 species